rnacentral:rRNA from 1 species
GACGAACGCUGGCGGCGUGCCUAACACAUGCAAGUCGAACGCUUCUUCCCCCCCGAGUUCUUGCACUCAAUUGGAAAGGGGAGCGGGGGACGGGUGAGUAACACGUCGGCAACCUACUCAUGAGUGAGGGAUAACACUUGGAAACAGGUGCUAAUACCGCAUAACAGUUUAUGCCGCAUGGCAUAAGAGUGAAAGGCGCUUUCGGGGGUCGUUGAUGGAUGGAUCCGCGGUGCAUUAGCUAGUUGGUGGGGUAACGGCUCACCAAGGCGACGAUGCAUAGCCGCCCUGAGAGGAUGAUCGGCCACACUGGAACUGAGACACGGCCCAGACUCCUACGGGAGGCAGCAGUAGGGAAUAUUCGGCAAUGGGCGAAAGUCUGACCGAGCAACGCCGCGUGAGUGAAGAAGGUUUUCGGAUCGUAAAGCUCUGUUGUUGGGGAAGAACAAGGACGGUAGUAACUGAACGUCCCCUGACGGUAUCUAACCAAAAAGCCACGGCUAACUACGUG